UUGUGUGGGUUUAUUGUACUGUAAAUUGUGCAGCCUCCAUAUAUUGCCUUCCAAAAAAACUUCAAGUGUCUCCUGGUAGCAGGAGGGAAGCCUGUGGGGUCCUUAUUCAAGAAACUGUGAGAUGGUCAUCCAAGAGAAAGAUUUGGUGAUAGUCACCUUGCAAAGACAUCAUCUGAAGACUGCAGCUGUAUGACAAGAGAGAGAGUUGAACAUUUACCAUGACUCAAGAUUUACAUUGUGGUGAACUGGAUGAAGCCAAUUUCUUAAGUCUGAUGCCUGCCUCAGAACUUACUUUUGCAAUGGUUUGUAUCUCCAGAGAUUUAUAGAAGAAUUCAUAAAUUGGCAUCACUGGUAUGUAAGAAAUGUGAAGCAGCUUCUGCUCCCAUUGUUCCCUGACUGUGAACCUGCCACUGGCUGAAAGAGUUUGCUUAAAAUACCAAACUUGCAGUACAGCUCCAGUGUGAUAUGAAGCUGACCCUUCCCUGUUUUGGGGGCUCCUUAGAAUGCAAUAUACAGCUUGAUAAGUAUGAAUUGUCAUCUCUUUAGGUCAUCUGUUUCUACAUCCUCUCAUUCUCCUGCCCUGGCAUUGCAGCCUAAGGAGACAGGAGAUACUGAUUAAGUAACUCAAAGGAAAUGAUUGUAACCAAAUGCUCUGCUGAGUGCACCCUCGAAGAGCUCCAAAAUCAUAAUAAGUGAACUGGUGCACUUGUUGUCAGGAGCAGCAUAUUCAUCCAAUAGUGACCUGUCAAAUUGACUUAUUAGCAUGGCUGAUAGUACUCCAGCAUUUUUAGCGCUAGAGAAUAGCAGGGAGCAUCACAUGUGCUUUUGAAUAUGUUAUGAAGAGUAUCAGAAAAAAUGCAUUAUUUGUACUUUCACAGAAGAUUUGUAGAAAGGCAAGAAAUUGAAUCCAGAUUGCCAGAUUACUUAUGCAGGGUCUUAUGCACAAGACUAGCCUCCCUUUUGAAUCCUGACGUUCUGGUCUUUUUCUGUUUGACAGUCCUUUCCCAUGUUCUUCUUUGUCUUUUGGAUGCACUGAGUUGCUCAUGUGAGCUAAAAUCAGAACAAACAAGAUUUUGUCAGAUACGACUUUUUAAAACUCUGUUGCAUACAUAUAAUAUCACACAGGUAGAAAGUAAAUAUGUACUCCAUUUUAGUAGUAGACAAAUAUGGGAAUGCGCAUGGGAAACUCACUUGUGGAAGAAGAACAGCUCACUCAGAAUGAAUCCAACCAAGACCAAAAGAAUGCUAGCUGUGGGAAAUUCCCAAGAUACAUACUAUCCACCGCUGUUGUAUCUGAGUGCCUUCCAUGCACAAUUAAUAACAGCAUCUUUUGUACAUUUCUCCCUCAUUCAUCAACUAUCGCAGCAAUGGGGAGAAAGAGAGGUAAAUGCAGUCUUUUUUGGAAGAAUUAAAGGGAGAGCCAGUGCUGUGCCAAUCGUUUAUGAUGAAAAUGUGUUCUCAAAGAAGAAAGCUUUGAAGUAUUUUCUAAAGAUAUUUAAGAUUUGGAUUUACCUGAUCUUUUCUCACAGUUUGCCCCAUAGAUCUGAUCUCUUCAACUAAGAAAGCUCUGUCCCCAUAUCUCAGAUGUUUCAUGACUUGUCUUGUGUCAAAAAAGAUACAUUUGUCAAAAUGAUUCCUAGAUAUAUAUUCACUUUAUGCUCUACAUGAUUGUAGGCUGAUUUGUUAAGACAUUAAAAGAUUAGGACAAAAGCCUUAAGUUGGCACUGGAAGCCACUGGACAGUAACUUGGGACCAGUGGACAGUCCUGAGUAUCAUAGACUGAAAUGGGAGAAAUACCCAUUUCAUACACAAUGAAAGAAAAUAAUCCAGCCUGGAUGCAACAAACAUCAGAUUUCCAUGGCCAGGUAGACAGGAUGUUGUUUUCUUGCAUUCCAAUGAUGAAAGAAGACUUGCUUGGGAAUUGAAGAUACCUGUUCAUCCAAAGGCUUUACUCCACCUGGAUGUUACACAUUUUCAAAAUGAGGCAGAAGCAGCCCUUUGGACAGUUGGGAAAUGUUUUCCCAAUCUGGCUGGCACCAGCUGGCUGGCACAGUCAAGAAUUUAAUUGAGUAACUCCAAGAAUUAAGAGGAAUCUGAGCACAUUGUAGGGAGUCCAUGGGACCAGGAAGGAGCCAAAUCUAUUUCGUCUAUGAAGGUUCCAGGGAGCAGGGAUGUAGCCUGAUUUACGAGGAGGCAUGAACUCUCCACAGGAGAAUGUAAAGGGAAGACCCUCAGGGGAACCUUUGAUGAGAGAAAAUAAUCUAGACAUAAAUAAAGACUUGAAUGGAUUUGUCCCUUCAUUAUUUUGGAGCCUGAUCCAAAGCCUCGUUAAGUCAAUAGAGGAACUCCAGCUGGGAUUUAGGUGAAGAAUUGAGGGUGCAAAUUACACACAACUCAUGUCACAAAGGAAAACUUCUGUGUUAUAGGGAAAUAUGCUUGUUAAAAUACUGAGCUGACAUUGAGAAGCGUUCAGCUAUUACAGGAUAUUCUUUCACUGAAUUACUUCUUGCUGUCCAAUAAAAUAAAAUAUAGGAAACCCUUCAGUGUUUCAUCAAAUUCUUGCUCAUUUCAAAGAGUACCAACAUUUCUGUGUCUGGCUCACAUAUUAAAAAGUUUGCCUGCAUAUUAAGUUACAUAUUUUUUUUUGUCAUAGGCUUAGCUUCAGAUCUUUCUAUGACUUUUACUAGGGGCUAUUUUUGAAGGAUUCAAGUCUGUUUUGCCAGUAUAACCUUCAAUUUCUAAUGAGUGUUAUUUCAAAAGAGAAUUUUCUUUUGGUAGGUAAGAAAAAAUAAAGUUAUCCUGAAAUUUAAUAAACAUUAUUUACUCUAUAGCUACUAAUAAAUCCUAUCAUACAUCCUGCUUUCCAAAAUGCUACAGGUUAUAAUCUCUUCCUAUCUGGUACCCAGAAGCUAAAGAAAUAUUGAAUUAUUUCACUUAGUGGAAUCUUAGACUUUUCUUACUCUAGCUUUUUAUUUUUCAUUUGUACAAUGAGGUGACAUUCUUACUAUCACAAAUUCUAGCACAGUUUUUAAAAGAUAUUGUAAUUUUACUUCCUUUUCAGUCAAACAUUCUUCUUCCACUAUUAUGAUCAUAUUUAAUCACAAAACUCGUACAGAUGAUUCAUUAACCCUUCAUCUCCCAUUUCUCCAAGGCCCAGUCCAAGCCCAAGUAGUUAGUGCAAAGGCUUUCCUUGGACAUUAGGAGAUUUUAGACGAGGAACAAAGCAUGCUGCAAAUUCACAUACAUAUAAAGUGUGUGUGUGUGUGUAUAAAUCACUUGUAAACAACUUUAAGUUUCUAAGUAAAUGCACACUGUUAUAAUAAUAUGUUCCUAUUAAUAUAUGUAUAUAUGUAUAUACUGCACUAGCCCAUUAACACCAAUAGGCCU